CCGGUCUUCAGUUGCUUGGCCAUCGAACUGUUUACAAAUCGGAACAGCAGGGAAAAUGCGUUGCCAAAGCAGGCCCCAAAAAACAAGAGGAGAGAGCGCCAACCAUAAAAAUAGCAACCCAACAAAUCCCAAGAAAUUGUGCUAAUAGAUACUAUAUCGGUACGUGAGUGUAGCCUAGGGUAUGCACAUUUCUUAUAAGCAAACAGCCCAUGAAUACCCUUCUGGCGGCAGAAGGCUACAUCCAUUUUCCACUUACAACUAGAGUAAUCAAGUACGAGUGGUUAUCCUCUAGAUUUACUUGAACCCCAUGGCAGUGCCAUGUGUCUAAAAUAAUAAAUUGCUGCUGGCUUUUAAGUAAUCUGGCAAAUGGCAUAAACAUAUCAUAUACACAUUCGACUGGCCCCUUCCCUUAGAUGAG
rnacentral:lncRNA from 1 species